rnacentral:tRNA from 1 species
GGGGAUUUAGCUCAGUGGUAGAGUGCUUGCCUCGCAAGCACAAGGCCCUGGGUUCGGUCCUCAGCUCCA